GGUAUGAAGACAAAACAGGAAUACAUUCAUACAAAAGUAGAACAUUGUAGGAAAUAAAGCACUCAUCACAACUUCUGUAUGUACACUAUAUAUCCCAAGGAAUGAAGUCAAGUUUCAUCACAAGUUUGACAGAUCCAAACUGCUGUGAUACUGGAAUAGAUGAAUGACAACACUACUAAU